rnacentral:rRNA from 1 species
UACGUAGGUGGCAAGCGUUGUCCGGAAUUAUUGGGCGUAAAGCGCGCGCAGGCGGCCUUUUAAGUCUGAUGUGAAAGCCCACGGCUCAACCGUGGAAGGUCAUUGGAAACUGAAAGGCUUGAGUACAGAAGAGGAAAGUGGAAUUCCCGGUGUAGCGGUGAAAUGCGCAGAUAUCGGGAAGAACACCCGUGGCGAAGGCGGCUUUCUGGGACGGUACUGACGCUGAGACGCGAAAGCGUGGGGAGCGAACAGG